rnacentral:rRNA from 1 species
GUAGACCUCAAGCGUUAUCCGGAUUUAUUGGGCGUAAAGCGCUAAAAGGCGGUUUAGAAAGUUGAACAUAAAAGCCCGGAGCUCAACUCCGGAUCUAUGUCCAAAACUUCUAGGCUAGAGGGUGGAAGAGGCAAGCGGAAUGGCUGGUGUAGCAGUAAAAUGCGUUAAUAUCAGCUAGAACACCGAUGGCGAAGGCAGCUUGCUGGAACACUCCUGACGCUAAAUAGCGAAAGCGUGGGUAGCGAAUGGGGGAUUAGAUACCCCAGUAGUCCACGCCGUAAACGCUGAGUGCUAGGUAUCGGAGAUUCGACCCCCCUUCGGUAUCGUUUACCAAGCUAACGCGUUAAGCACUCCGCCUGGGGAGUACGGUCGCAAGACUA